UCUAAGAAUUACUUAGAUUGCAGGGGCAUU
rnacentral:piRNA from 1 species